UACAGAGGUCUCAAGCGUUGUUCGGAUUCAUUGGGCGUAAAGGGUGCGCAGGCGGCGGUUCGCGUGGAUAGGUGAAAUCUCCUGGCUUACCUGGGAGGGUGGUAUCCAGACGGGAUCGCUUGAGGGUCGCAGAGGGGCGUGGAAUUCCGGGUGGAGCGGUGAAAUGCGUAGAGAUCCGGAGGAACACCGACGGCGUAGGCAGCGCCCUGGACGACACCUGACGCUGAGGCACGAAAGCUGGGGGAGCGAACAGG
rnacentral:rRNA from 1 species